GUCAUACUCCCUCCGUUUCGAAUUACUUGUCGCAGGUAUGGAUGUAUCUAGAUGUAUUUUAGUUCUAGAUACAUCCAUUUCUACGACGAGUAAUUUAGAAUAGAGGGAGUACAUG
rfam:Triticum aestivum genome assembly, contig: Triticum_aestivum_CS42_TGACv1_scaffold_290075_4AL